CCCUUGAGAGUGGCGAACGGGUGAGUAAUAUAUCGGAACGUGCCCAGUCGUGGGGGAUAACGUANAGAAAUUUACGCUAAUACCGCAUACGAUCUAAGGAUGAAAGCGGGGGACCGUAAGGCCUCGCGCGAUUGGAGCGGCUGAUAUCAGAUUAGCUUGUUGGUGAGGUAAAAGCUCACCAAGGCGACGAUCUGUAGCUGGUUUGAGAGAACGACCAGCCACACUGGGACUGAGACACGGCCCAGACUCCUACGGGAGGCAGCAGUGGGGAAUUUUGGACAAUGGGCGAAAGCCUGAUCCAGCAAUGCCGCGUGUGGGAAGAAGGCCUUCGGGUUGUAAACCACUUUUGUACGGAACGAAAAGGUCUGCUUUAAUAAAGUGGGCUCAUGACGGUACCGUAAGAAUAAGCACCGGCUAACUACGUGCCAGCAGCCGCGGUAAUACGUAGGGUGCGAGCGUUAAUCGGAAUUACUGGGCGUAAAGCGUGCGCAGGCGGUUAUAUAAGACAGUUGUGAAAUCCCCCGGGCUCAACCUGGGAAUUGCAUCUGUGACUGUAUAGCUAGAGUACGGUAGAGGGGGAUGGAAUUCCGCGUGUAGCAGUGAAAUGCGUAGAUAUGCGGAGGAACACCGAUGGCGAAGGCAAUCCCCUGGACCUGUACUGACGCUCAUGCAC
rnacentral:rRNA from 1 species